UGGGGAAUAUUGCACAAUGGGCGCAAGCCUGAUGCAGCGACGCCGCGUGAGGGAUGACGGCCUUCGGGUUGUAAACCUCUUUCAGCAGGGAAGAAGCGCAAGUGACGGUACCUGCAGAAGAAGCGCCGGCUAACUACGUGCCAGCAGCCGCGGUAAUACGUAGGGCGCAAGCGUUGUCCGGAAUUAUUGGGCGUAAAGAGCUCGUAGGCGGUUUGUCGCGUCUGCUGUGAAAUCCCGAGGCUCAACCUCGGGCUUGCAGUGGGUACGGGCAGACUAGAGUGCGGUAGGGGAGACUGGAAUUCCUGGUGUAGCGGUGGAAUGCGCAGAUAUCAGGAGGAACACCGAUGGCGAAGGCAGGUCUCUGGGCCGCAACUGACGCUGAGGAGCGAAAGCAUGGGGAGCGAACA
rnacentral:rRNA from 1 species